GAGCACGCCUGAUUUACAGCCAACGUAAGCUUAGCUGACACAAACUAUUGCACUUUUGCUUCCUCCUAGUGGUAAGUUCAAGCAAUUACAUAUUUGAACACACACAAUCAUAUAUUCUGAACAAAAUUAUAAACGCAACACUUUUGUUUUUGCCCCAAUUUUUCAUGAGCUGAACUCAAAGAUCUAAGACUUUUUCUAUGUACACAAAAGGCCUAUUUCUCUCAAAUAUUGUUAACAAAUCUGUCUAAAUCUGUGUUAGUGAGCA